UACGUAGGGUGCGAGCGUUGUCCGGAAUUACUGGGCGUAAAGAGCUCGUAGGUGGUUUGUCGCGUUGUUCGUGAAAACCGGGGGCUUAACCCUCGGCGUGCGGGCGAUACGGGCAGACUUGAGUACUGCAGGGGAGACUGGAAUUCCUGGUGUAGCGGUGGAAUGCGCAGAUAUCAGGAGGAACACCGGUGGCGAAGGCGGGUCUCUGGGCAUUACCUGACGCUGAGGAGCGAAAGCGUGGGGAGCAAACAGG
rnacentral:rRNA from 1 species